CUUGACUUCCAUAAGAGGUCCAGCCUGCCCAGUGAUACUAUUAAACGGCCGCGGUACCCUGACCGUGCGAAGGUAGCAUAAUAACUUGUUCUUUAAAUGGGGACUAGCAUGAACGGCAUCACGAGGGUCUCACUGUCUCCUUUUUCUAAUCAGUGAAACUGAUCUCCCCGUGAAGAAGCGGGGAUAAAAAUAUAAGACGAGAAGACCCCAUGGAGCUUUAAACCCAAUAGACACCUCUGACUAAUCUAACCCAAAACACUUCUUAAGUUCUGUCUAUUGGUUUUAGGUUGGGGUGACCACGGAGUACAAUAAAUCCUCCAUGACGUACGGGACUUCCCUCUUAUCCUUGAACAACAUUUCUAAGAAUCAACAAAUUGACGUUUGAUGAUCCAAUAUAUUGAUCAACGGACCA
rnacentral:rRNA from 1 species